UACGGGGGGGGCAAGCGUUGUUCGGAAUUACUGGGCGUAAAGGGUUCGUAGGUGGCCAACUAAGCCAGACGUGAAAUCCCUCAGCUUAACUGGGGAACUGCGUCUGGGACUGGAUGGCUUGAGUGCAGGAGAGGAACGCGGAAUUCCAGGUGUAGCGGUGAAAUGCGCAGAUAUCAGGAAGAACACCAAUGGCGAAAGCAGCUUUCUGGGACGGUACUGACGCUGAGACGCGAAAGCGUGGGGAGCGAACAGG
rnacentral:rRNA from 1 species